ACACUACGGUUCAUCGACAGAAAAUCGUCCUAAAAAAAUUUACGACGGUUAACCUACGAAAUUAAACCUACGCCCCGACCGCCGCCGCCCCUGGCGCGUGGCAGGGGAGAGAAGGGGGGCAAGAUCGGCGGGGCAGAGUUCUUUCGGAAGGACGGCGUGGUGGGCGACAUGGACGGAUACCUCAACUACCUGUCCCUCGAGUAUGACUUCGUCUCGGACACCAAUCCUGCUUGGGUAUCUUCAUUUUGGAAGCAGGAAUCCUUUCCUCAUAAGAUGGAUGAGCUGUAGGAUUUGAUUCUGUUCAGCUUGAAUUAGUUUUUCAUCAUCAUGUUCUUUGUAUUAGGAAUUCAUGCCUUCCAGCUCUAAUUUUUUCGCAUUGUUGGUGUAUGCUGGGAGUCACAUUAUUAUGCUGCUAGCAAACAGUAGGAUUGGAAGUCUUACUCUAUAGAUUGGUUCCCAUUGUUACAGUGAAGUAGCUACCAAGCAGCGAGGCCAUCGAGUGACACGAGACCGCGGGACGGCGUGAGAAGAAGCAGGGGGUGUCUGGCGGGAUGGAGAAGACCACAGGGAAGUGUGGCAACGGAGUGCAAUCCCGAAGAAGAAGAACAUUGCAAAGAAAGACCCUGGCCAAGCGCCACCCAAUUUUCUUUCACCGGCCCAUCUAAUGGCCAUCAAUUCAAUUGGUCCAAGCUGUUGUGUUGACCUUCCCAUUGAUCCACUACAUCCUCGCUCAGCUGGUUCUGCUAUGUUUCUUCUCCAUGGCAUUGCUGGUUGCCGGCGUGCCUGACAUCGCGCCUUAUGUGACCUGACAUGAUGCUCCUCUACGUGUUCUUCUCACCCCGGUUUCCAUGACGAGAGAUGUUGUUCUGUGGUUCCGUAGUUCUACUCCAUAGCAAUGAUGGAGUCGCCUCCAUAUGGAUAGCAAUUAUCUCGGGAUCAUGAGAGCUGUCUACGCAACGGCCAGGGGGCAUAUGCUUCUCCUAGCACUAACACCUUCAUCCUAUUUGAGCCAGAAUGGCUUUGGUGCCCUCUCUCGCUCAUGGUGAGGCCGUGCAUGCUUGCCAUGGUUGUGGCUACGAAAUCUCAGACUGAGUCGCUUCGGUCGGGCACUAUUCAGUACAUUGGUUUUGCUCACAUCACAAAUAUCUAACAACAAGAGUGAUUAUGAAAGCAUAAAAUAUAUUGGCGACCAAACAUCAGAGGCCCAAUUAGUUACAAGACUGACUCAUUGGGGUUUCGCUUGGAGCAUUCUUGAGAUGUUCAGUGGCGUUCAGACUUGGUGUGCCAAAUCACCAGAUGAGAUUUAUCAGUCAGUUGUCCUGAAGAAAUAGAAACCGAUGUUCCUGUACAAUUUACCUACGAAGGUCGCUAAUGUCCUCUCUGGCUGCUAUGAGUAUGACUUUCGGGAUCACUCCUUGAUGUUAGAUAUCUUACAGUCAUUUGAAAGGUUGGAGGUGACACAUGAACGCUGGCAAUGCAAAAUAGCAGAUAUAAAAUAACUGCAGCUCAGGCCAUGUAGUUCUACAACAACCAAGGAAGAAGUCCGUUUUUUAAGCCGACCUUGGCCAAGCAUUUAAGCUUAUAUGGAUGCUCUCUAUUUUUCAGAGGUGCGUGUACUGAGGACGCCCAUGAUUUAGGGCCAAAAAUCUAGACAAAGUGACAAAACUUUGUACGAGACUUACUUGAAGCCAAGGAGGUCAGGGGAGGAGGGCAACAAGGCUGGGGAGCGGAGGCAGAGGCCGACGGGGAAGAGAAUGAUCAAGCAUGUAAAUCUAGAGCACAAGCUCGUGAUUUAUCAAGGGAGUGGCGCUGCCGCCGGAUUAGAAAAUCAUAUCUCACGUUAAGGUGUUUUUGUCUUUUGUUUUUGUACAAAUUUGGUGAAGGCAAUUUUUUGAUGAUACAUAUAAGAUGACUAGCAUUAUCUUUUUA